UUCUAAGAGGGCACUUUCUAAGUCAUUAUGGUUAUUCUUCUUUUAAAACUCCUGCCUUUUAAUGUUUAUAAGGAAAUAACAGCAUCAGGAACUUAUUUUAAAAAAGAAGUCUGGUAUGGCCUGAGAACUGAACCUGGAGCCAUUCUGAUAAGGUGAUUCAAGGAAAUCUCAAUAUAUGGCUACAGUAAAUUUAAAGGCACUGUGAAGCUGCAACUAGGGUUUGAAAAAAAAUAGAAUUAAUCUUUUGAGCUUACUGUUAAAAAAGUGAGUUCUAAGACUGAAAGAAAUAUUGUAUUUUAUGGACCAAGUAGAGUUUGAGAAGAAAACUUGCAAGACUCCAACCAGUGUUGAAUAUGUUCUACACCUGCAUACUAUGCUGGGAAAAGCCUUCUGUACAUCAUCACUUGUUUUCUUCAUUUCACAGCCUGUUUGCCUAGUUGGGCUUCUGGAAAUUUUGUAUGCUUACAGCUGUGCAGAUAAAAUCAUUGCUUAACCUUUUAUAGAGUCCUCUGAAAUGACUUUUAACCUAAUCACUUAUGCCAAUGUCCUUAAAGAUAUUUGGCAGCAAAUGCU